GAUGAACGCUGACAGCAUGCUUAACACAUGCAAGUCUACUUGAACUUCGGUUUGGGUGGCGGACGGGUGAGUAACGCGUAGAGAACUUGCCUCACAGAUAGGGACAACAUUUGGAAACGAAUGCUAAUACCUGAUAUUAUGAUUUUAGGGCAUCCUAGAAUUAUGAAGGCUAUAUGCACUGUGAGAGAGCUUUGCGUCCCAUUAGCUAGUUGGAGAGGUAACGGCUCACCAAGGCGAUGAUGGGUAGCCGGCCUGAGAGGGUGAUCGGCCACAAGGGGACUGGGACACGGCCCGUACUCCUACGGGAGGCAGCGGUGGGGAAUAUUGGACAAUGGACCAAGAGUCUGAUCGAGAAAUUCUGUGUGCAAGAUGAAGUUUUGCGGAAUGUAAAGUGCUUUCAGUUGGGAAGAAAAAAAUGACGGUACCAACAGAAGAAGUAACGGCUAAAUACGUG
rnacentral:rRNA from 1 species